UACGUAGGGCGCAAGCGUUGUCCGGAAUCAUUGGGCGUAAAGAGCUCGUAGGUGGUCUGUUACGUCUGCUGUGAAAUCCUAGGGCUUAACCCUGGGCCUGCAGUGGAUACGGGCAGACUAGAGGUAGGUAGGGGAGAAUGGAAUUCCCGGUGUAGCGGUGAAAUGCGCAGAUAUCGGGAGGAACACCGGUGGCGAAGGCGGUUCUCUGGGCCUUACCUGACACUGAGGAGCGAAAGCGUGGGGAGCAAACAGG
rnacentral:rRNA from 1 species